rnacentral:tRNA from 1 species
GCCUGGCUGGCUCAGUUUGAAGAGCAUGCGACUCUUAAUCUUGGGGUCAUGGGUUCAAUCCCCACGUUGGGUG